ACGCACGCUGGCGGCAUGCCUAACACCUGUCAGUCGAACGAGACCUUCGGGUCUAGUGGCGCACGGGUGCGUCACGCGUGGGAACCUGCCCUUAGGUUCGGAAUAACUCCCCGAAAGGGGUGCUAAUACCGGAUAAUGUCUUCGGACCAAAGAUUUAUCGCCUUUGGAUGGGCCCGCGUUGGAUUAGCUAGUUGGUAGGGUAAAAGCCUACCAAGGCGACGAUCCAUAGCUGGUCUGAGAGGAUGAUCAGCCACACUGGGACUGAGACACGGCCCAGACUCCUACGGGAGGCAGCAGUGGGGAAUAUUGGACAAUGGGCGAAAGCCUGAUCCAGCAAUGCCGCGUGAGUGAUGAAGGCCUUAGGGUUGUAAAGCUCUUUUACCCGGGAUGAUAAUGACAGUACCGGGAGAAUAAGCUCCGGCUAACUCCGUG
rnacentral:rRNA from 1 species